rnacentral:tRNA from 1 species
GCGGGCGUGGCGGAAUUGGUAGACGCGCCGGAUUUAGGAUCCGGUGAGCAUGCUCAUGGAGGUUCGAGUCCUCUCGCCCGCACCA